GUGCUCAUUUUUAAAGCACAUACACAUAUAUGGUACAGAGAAGUUUAGCAUGGCCUAUAUGGAAGGAUGACAUGCAAAUUCAUGAAGCAUUCCAUAUGAAA
ensembl:snRNA U6 U6 spliceosomal RNA